CGGCGGCGGUGGCGGCGGCGGCGCGGGCUGCGGGCCUCACCGCCCGGGCCCUCCGCGGCGGCCUCCCCGCCCGCGUCCCGGCCCGCGUCCCCGGCCGCCCGCCAGCCGCCGCCGCUUCCGUCUCGUCCUUCCUUCUGUUCCCGCCGCCGCCGCGCCUCAGCGCUAGGGGCGGCCCGAGCGCUUUGUGGACGCGCUCGGCGCUCACCUAGGACUGUCACCGGCUCCUUCGGGGCCCGCGGGAGCGCUCCCGAAAGACUCCGCGGGUGGUGGUGACGGUGUCGGGAUCCCGGUCCCCACCGGCCCCGAGAGCUACUCCUUCCCCGCGCCCCGCUCAGCGCGAAAGCUGCGGGAAGCUCCAGUCUAAGGCAACUGACAAAGAUGGAGAAGCUCUAUAUAGUCAGCAAAAACAAGACCGGGAGUUGAAUGUGGCUCAGAUCAUGAACUCCUUAUUGCCAAAUUCAAACUUAAAUUGAAGAAAGUAGGGAAAACCACUAGACCAUUCAGGUAUGACCUAAAUAAAAUCCCUUAUGACUAUACAGUGGAAGUGAGAAAUAGAUUUAAGGGAGUAGAUUGAAUAGACAGAGUUCUUGAUGAACUAUGGAUGGAGGUUUGUGACAUUGUACAGGAGACAGAGAUCAAGACCAUCCCCAUGGAAAAGAAAGGCAAAAAAGCAAAAUGGCUGGCUGAGGAGGCCUUAUAAAUAGUUGUGAAAAGAAGGGAAGUGAAAAACAAAGGAGAAAAGGAAAGAUAUAAGCAUCUGAAUGCAGAGUUCCAAAGAAUGGCAAGGAGAGAUAAGAAAGCCUUCCUCAGCGAUCAAUGCAAAGAAAUAGAGGAAAACAACAGAAUGAGAAAGACUAGAGAUCUCUUCAAGAAAAUUAGAGAUACCAAGGGAACAUUUCAUGCAAAGAUGGGCUUGAUAAAGGACAGAAAUGGUAUGGACCUAACAGAAGCAGAAGAUAUUAAGAAGAGGUGGCAAGAAUACACAGAAGAACUGUACAAAAAAGAUCUUCAUGACCCAGAUAAUCACAAUGGUGUGAUCACUCACCUAGAGUCAGACAUCCUGGAAUGCAAAGUCAAGUGGGCCUUAGAAGACAUCAUUACGAACAAAGCUAGUGGAGGUGAUGGAAUUCCAGUUGAGCUAUUUCAAAUCCUGAAAGAUGAUACUGUGAAAGUGCUGCACUCAAUUUGCCAGCAAAUUUGGAAAACUCAGCAGUGGCCACAGGACUGGAAAAGAUCAGUUUUCAUUCCAAUCCCAAAGAAAGGCAAUGCCAAAGAAUACUCAAACUACCACACAGUUGCACUCAUCUCACACGCUAGUAAAGUAAUGCUCAAAAUUCUCCAAGCCAAGCUUCAGCAAUAUGUGAACCGUGAAAUUCCAGAUGUUCAUGCUCGUUUUAGAAAAGGCAGAGGAACCAGAGAUCAAAUUGCCAAUGUCCACUGGAUCAUUGAAAAAGCAAGAGAAUUCCAGAAAAGCAUCUCUGCUUUUUUGACUAUGCCAAAGCCUUUGACUGUGUGGACCACAAUAAACUGUGGAAAAUUCUGAAAGAGAUGAGAAUACCAGACCAUCUGACCUGCCUUUUGAGAAACCUAUAUGCAGAUCAGGAAGCAACAGUUAGAACUGGACAUGGACCAACAGACUGGUUCCAAAUAGGAAAAGGAGUACGUCAAGGCUGUAUAUUGUCACCCUGCUUAUUUAACAUCAUGAGAAACGCUGGGUUGGAAGAAGCACAAGCUGGAAUCAAGAUUGCCGGGAGAAAUGUCAAUAACCUCAGAUAUACAGAUGACACCACCCUUAUGGCAGAAAGUGAAGAGGAACUAAAAAGCCUCUUGCUGAAAGUGAAAGAGGAGAGUGAAAAAGUUGGCUUAAAGCUCAACAUUCAGAAAACUAAGAUCAUGGCAUCCAGUCCCAUCACUUCAUGGCAAAUAGAUGGGGCAACAGUGGAAACAGUGUCAGACUUUAUUUUGGGGGGUUCCAAAAUCACUGCAGAUGGUGACUGCAGCCAUGAAUUUAAAAGACGCUUACUGCUUGGAAGGAAAGUUAUGACCAACCUAGAUAGCAUAUUCAAAAGCAGAGACAUUACUUUGCCAACAAAGGUCCAUCUAGUCAAGGCUAUGGCUUUUCCAGUGGUCAUGUAUGGAUGUGAGUUGGACUGUGAAGAAAGCUGAGUGCCGAAGAAUUGAUACUUUUGAACUGUGGUGUUGGAGAAGAUUCUUGAGAGUCCCUUGGACUGCAAGGAGAUCCAACCAGUCCAUCCUAAAGAAGACCAGUCUUGGGUGUUCAUUGGAAGGACUGAUGCUGAAGCUAAAACUCCAAUACUUUGGCCACCUCAUGUGAAGAGUUGCCUCAUUGGAAAAGACCCUGAUGCUGGGAGGGAUUGGAGCCAGGAGGAGAAGGGGAUGACAGAGGAUGAGAUGACUGAAUGGCAUCACCGACUCGAUGCACAUGAGUUUGAGUGAACUCCAGGAACUGGCGAUGGACAGGAAGGCCUGGUGUGCUGCGAUUCAUGGGGUCGCAAAGAGUCAGAUACGACUGAGUGCCUUAACUGAACUGAUAAUAUUUUUGGAUGCACCUAUGUUGAUGUAUGUAUCAAUAGUUCUUUCCUUCUUAUUGUCAAAUUAUAUUCUGUUGUAUAGAUAUACCACAUUCUGUUUAUUCAGUCACCAACUGGUGGACAUUUAGAUUGUUUAUAGUUUUCUCUGAUUAUAAAUAAAGCCUCUAUUGAGAUUUGUGGGCUAAUUUUGGAUAGAUAUAUGCUUUAUUUCUCUGAAAUAAAUACCAAG
ensembl:lncRNA